rnacentral:rRNA from 1 species
AGCGAACGUUUGCGGCGGGCCUAACACAUGCAAGUCGAACGGGCUAGCAAUAGUCAGUGGCGCACGGGUGCGUAACACGUGGGUAAUCAACCCUUCAGCUCGGGAUAACGCCUUGAAAGGGGCGCUAAUACCGGAUACGACGCGAGGAGCUUCGGCUGCUCGCGGGAAAGAUUCGCAAGGAUCUCUGAAGGACGAGCCUGCGGCCCAUCAGCUAGUUGGUGAGGUAAGAGCUCACCAAGGCGAAGACGGGUAGCUGGUCUGAGAGGAUGAUCAGCCACACUGGAACUGAGACACGGUCCAGACUCCUACGGGAGGCAGCAGUGGGGAAUAUUGCGCAAUGGCGAAGACUGACGCAGCACGCCGCGUGAGCGAUGAAGGCCUCGGUC